rnacentral:rRNA from 1 species
CAACCUGCCGUCUACUCUUGGACAGCCUUCUGAAAGGAAGAUUAAUACAAGAUGGCAUCAUGAGUCCACAUGUUCACAUGAUUAAAGGUAUUCCGGUAGACGAUGGGGAUGCGUUCCAUUAGAUAGUAGGCGGGGUAACGGCCCACCUAGUCUUCGAUGGAUAGGGGUUCUGAGAGGAAGGUCCCCCACAUUGGAACUGAGACACGGUCCAAACUCCUACGGGAGGCAGCAGUGAGGAAUAUUGGUCAAUGGGCGAGAGCCUGAACCAGCCAAGUAGCGUGAAGGAUGACUGCCCUAUGGGUUGUAAACUUCUUUUAUAAAGGAAUAAAGUCGGGUAUGGAUACCCGUUUGCAUGUACUUUAUGAAUAAGGAUCGGCUAACUCCGUGCCAGCAGCCGCGGUAAUACGGAGGAUCCGAGCGUUAUCCGGAUUUAUUGGGUUUAAAGGGAGCGUAGAUGGAUGUUUAAGUCAGUUGUGAAAGUUUGCGGCUCAACCGUAAAAUUGCAGUUGAUACUGGAUAUCUUGAGUGCAGUUGAGGCAGGCGGAAUUCGUGGUGUAGCGGUGAAAUGCUUAGAUAUCACGAAGAACUCCGAUUG